UUUCUUCCUUAUCUGACAUAUCCCAUGUGCAGCUAUAUCGGCUCGAGUUGGUGCCCCCACCUUGGGUGAAAAAAUAGGAGGUAAGACCAAGGCCGAGAAGGCUGUGAAGGCGACGACAGCCAAGCCUCCCACCAAAGGAGUCGUUAUUCGGGAAAAACGUACGCGGGAAGGCGACCACGUAAUCGAAAUAGGCAAGCCGGACUCUUCGAAGGGAAAGGAAGCCG
rnacentral:lncRNA from 1 species